rnacentral:tRNA from 1 species
GCCGACUUAGCUCAAUUGGUAGAGCAACUGACUUGUAAUCAGUAGGUCGAUGGAAAAUAAAAAGACAGCA